rnacentral:rRNA from 1 species
CAAAGAGCGCAACCCUUGUCCCGUGUUGCCAGCAGGCCCUUGUGGUGCUGGGGACUCACGGGAGACCGCCGGGGUCAACUCGGAGGAAGGUGGGGACGACGUCAAGUCAUCAUGCCCCUUAUGUCUUGGGCUGCACACGUGCUACAAUGGCCGGUACAAUGAGCUGCGAUACCGCGAGGUGGAGCGAAUCUCAAAAAGCCGGUCUCAGUUCGGAUUGGGGUCUGCAACUCGACCCCAUGAAGUCGGAGUCGCUUAGUAUCCGAAUUGCCG